rnacentral:rRNA from 1 species
AAUGAACGCUGGCGGCAGGCCUAAAACAUGCAAGUCGAACGCCCUAGCAAUAGGGAGUGGCGCACGGGUGAGUAACAUGUGGGAAUAUGCCUUUUGGUACGGAACAACGUUUGGAAACGAACGCUAAUACCGUAUGGUCCCUCCGGGGUAAAGAUUUAUCGCCAAAAGAUUAGCCCGCACUAGAUUAGCUAGUUGGUAAGGUAAUGGCUUACCAAGGCGACGAUCUAUAGCUGUUCUGAGAGGAAGAUCAGCCACACUGGGACUGAGACACGGCCCAGACUCCUACGGGAGGCAGCAGUUAGGAAUAUUGGACAAUGGGCGCAAGCCUGAUCCAGCCAUGCCGCGUGAGUGAUGAAGGCCUUCGGGUUGUAAAGCUCUUUAGCCGACGAAUAUAAUGACUGUAGUCGGAGAAUAAGCCCCGGCUAACUUCGUGCCAGCAGCCGCAGUAAGAC